CCUACGGGUGACAGCAGUGAGGAAUAUUGGUCAAUGGGCGCGAGCCUGAACCAGCCAAGUCGCGUGAAUGAUGACUGCCCUACGGGUUGUAAGCUUCUUUUGUGAAGGAAUAAGUUGAGGCACGUGUGCCUUUUUGUAUGUACUUUAUGAAUAGGAAUCGGCUAACUCCGUGCCAGCAGCCGCGGUAAUACGGAGGGUCCGAGCGUUGUCCGGAUUUAUUGGGUUGAAAGGGAGCGUAGAGGGGUUGUUAAGUCAGUUGUGAAAGUUUGCGGCUCAACCGGAAAAUUGCAAUUGAUACUGGCAGGCUUGAGUAUAGUUGAGGUAGGCGGAAUUCGUGGUGUAGCGGUGAAAUGCUUAGAGAUCACGAAGAACUCCGAUUGCGAAGGCAGCCUACUAAACUGAGACUGACACUGAGGCUCGAAAGUGUGGGUAUCAAACAGGAUUAGAUACCCCUAUAGUC
rnacentral:rRNA from 1 species